rnacentral:lncRNA from 1 species
CGCGGCCAAUGUUUUGUCUCUUUCUAAGCAUUUGAUUGGUCGUUGAUCAAUUGCUCGGUCAUGUCAACUCCAUCCGAUUAACAAAAAUAAUAUCAUCUAAAUAAAUGUACAAUAAACAUGCACCUGGUUUACGGUUAACAGCGUUAGAAACCUUUUCUUGAUGCAAAGGAUGGGAGCCAGAAUCAAAGAAGUUAAUCAAAGGAUGGAGAUAUAUAUUUAUUCCUAUAUGUACCGUAUGUAAUUUAUGUACAUACCUAUGUUUACUACUUAACUCGUGUAUCUUCAGUCAACGCUCAUAUCUUCGUUCCCAAAGAAAAUACAGCUGACAUAUAAAAAUAAGCUCUUAACUGACGUUAGAUUUCCGUGGUUUUUUUAAAUACAGUGUAUUUGCAGAGGAAAACCCAGACCUUUCUACACAAAAAUACUACUUGUAAAUAUUUUUUGUAAAUUAGUAGCCGGUUUUGAAUGAGCUUCGUUUUUUUAUUCUUGAUCGUUUGUCGCGGAAGACGUGCUCAUUUGGUAUGGAAAUAUUGUGUUUUAUUGUAACGACUUGUAUCGACUGCAAAAGGUCAAUUUGGGGAGAAAAAUGCUGGAAUUACCAUACUCUAAAUUGCCAAAGGUGAACGGUGAUUGACUUUGGAUAUUCGCGCACGAGUUUUUUUUCUUAUGAGGUAUGAGAUAAUCACUAAAGUGGAGAACAUGGUGAAUACGCAAAACAAUCAAAAAGUAAACCAAGAUCGAAAACACGAAUCGCUGUAAGACAUUGGCAUUUACCUAUCGGAAGACGAUGCAAAAAUCCUUGAAGAAAUGGAAACAAAUCGGAGUAGAAUAAGCACAACCACCAAAAUACGACAGAGCUGUAUAAUUCUACAGUGAAGUACCAAACCGAACAUGACCUAUGAGCGACUCGAGAAAAAAAACUCCGACACUAAACAAUCGCAAUUAAAGACUAAAACCAUGAAAGAAACUACAGUUGAAUAAAUUUUACCAGACUUUGUGAUCAUGAUGAUUCUUAACCACAUCACUAAAUCUAUGCGUCGGUGAAAACAAGAUGAGUAAUCCUGAAUCAGACUCGAACCAGACCUAAGCCUAAAAAAUUAAUCGUUAAUUUUUCAGUAUAGUAAAUGAAACUCAGUUACCUGCAACAGAUGACAAUAUAAUUCGUGACAUAUGUCGAUACAGACAAAAAUAUACUUCGCUCAGAUAAGUAACAUAUAUAAUUAACGAAAAAGAGAUAAAUUAAUUAGUUAAAAGAAACAGAAGGUUUGAUUGAGUGAAACAAACAAAAGGUUUGAUUGGCUGAAACAGAUAAAAAGUUUGAUUAG